AAGUAUGGGCACAAAGCGAAGUUUGAUGUACCAGUUUCCCGCUUCUUCGACUUUCCCUCCCGUAAUUGGCAAGGCAGUCAUUCUUCAGUCUCGGAGCACGAUCUUCUCUGUCAAAACGAUUUUCCGCUCCACAAUCUGAAACUGAACUGGAAACGAUUUACAAUCGCUUCAAUCUGCAAGCUCUGUACCACAGGCGUCUCUGAAAAUGGACAACACUGCGUCAGAUUCUGCAGUUGCUCUCGAGUUAUCUGGUUUUUGCCUGCGUGAGAACUCUGUGAAGGAUUUCUGAAGUCUUUCAGAGUUGAGGGCGUUGCUGGAGGAGGAACUGCUUAUGGAUGGAAUAAUGGAAGCUUAAAUACGGCAGAGCUAGUAGAUGUGUGGUGCAUAUCAAGCACAGAAAACGUUGGACCUCAGGAAAUGCCUAGGCGUUUAGAACCCCUAGAGAAAUGAGAGGGAAAGUGUUCAAAUUGCUAUGCGCCCCAAAUUAUCUUGGGGAGGUUCUGGCGUGGCUGGAAUUUUGCAGGCUUUUUCUGGUGAUCUAUGCUCCACAUCUGGUGAUCGGUUAGUGUCACUAGACAAACAAAGUUUCAUAUGUUGUUCCCCUAAUAAGCAUGCAGGUGUGGUUGUGUGCAGGCUAGUUGUUGGACAAUCAUUGAGGUCAGUCACCCAAAAUACAUACCCAUGCUAUACUAUUGUAAUAUGUUGGGAAUAAUAUUCAUUUUAGAGAUCUAACAACUAUUUUGAAGGUAGGCUUUGCAAUUAUAUUGUAUCUGUAAAACUUCUGACUGUAAAUAGUUGUUGAAUUUGAAAAAAAUCAGUGUCGAACUUUUUUAUGUUUAGAAUUGAAUUUCAGUACCUGUAGUACGGUGAUCAAAUGAUUAGUUUGAAUGAUUUCUACGGAUAAAUCUAUUAGACUGAUUGCCCAGAACUUUACUACAGUUUGUUGCUAUUCUUUCAAAAAUCUGACCACUUCAAGCUUUCUAUGGCAGCCGUUGAAUAUGGAACAUUAUGAUUCUGUUCGCAGUAUGUCUAGUGAGAUUCGUGAUUAUGCUCCAGAUGCUCGUGUAUUGACACAUACUACUCUGGUAUGAGACACAAUCUUGAUUUUGUUUGUUCUAUUCAUUCUACUGCAAACUCAGACUCUGGUUACACAACUUUCCCUGCUUGAUAAAUAAUUUGCAUGGCAUUAGCUGGUUU